AGUAGCAGGUAGUAGUAUCCUUACAACCUUCGUAUGGGGUAUAUUUUAUGGGGGGUUGGCCAAGGAUAUCCCCUUUUGCCUUCGAGAGCUCACAUCCGAAGCCCAGUCCACUGGUCUAUCAGGCGAGUUAAGUACUUCGCUCCCACAGCCAAGAGCAGGAUAAGGGAGUAUCCUAUCUGCGACAUGCAUUGUUGGCAUGCGAGGUCCGGCCAGGUUCGCGUUGCAUUCGAUCGAACUCUUAGCUUGAGACUGACCGUAGGUGGGUGGCUAUGGCGAAGUCAAAGGUGAGGCAGACAAGUGCGAUAUCAGGUACGAAUCGAGUACACGGCUGGUCUCUGUGGAAAGUAUUGAGCAAGAUGUACGUAUAUGUACCUCUGACCGGACUUCGGAGAGACUCACCAAGUCACAGUGGAGUACCCCAGAGAAAGAGAAAACCGGUGACUUUGCACUGGCCAACCCAUUGACGAAUGCCAUGAAUCCAAUUGCAUAUCUUACAGCCACAAUCCAAUGUACUAGCAGUGU
rnacentral:lncRNA from 1 species